rnacentral:lncRNA from 1 species
CAUGGAUGCUACAACUCGGAAAAAGAAAGCAGCCUUAGUGCUGUGAUUAGACUGCAUUUAUAAGACAUGAUUCAGACACCUAAAUUUAGGUGCGUGCACUGUAGGUGUCUAUGACAAGGCAGCUCUCUAUGGCACCAUUGUCAUACAGGUGAUUAAAAAGUUGAUUCAGUUUCCUGAAUCUUAGCUGUCCUGUGUCAUUUGAGAUUCUCGUUUGACAUUCUGUUGCUCAGUUCACAUGGAAUUUGUGGCCUGCUGCAAGGCAAAGAUCCCGCCAGAGACCAGGCAGGAUGUACUUGGGCUGGGACUUGAUUCAGCUGCUCAUGCACAGGCAUCUAUUACCAUCUGAGAUCCCUUCAGAAGUCCAAGAAGCACACAAGGCUGGAAGACAUGGCACACAGAAACUCUGUGAGCAGUUAGAUGCAUCCUGGCCUCCUCAGCUGGAUCUAGACACAACCAAAUAAUGUUGGCUUUGGCAAAACUUACAAGUGUGGAUGUUUAAAAUCUAAGUUUAUUUCCAGCAAAGCUGAGACUUUAGCUCCUAAAAAUUCCUCUGUCAGGUUUCUUCUCUGUGCUAUCCACACCGGUGAGGUACAGUCCCUCAGUAUCAAACAUAAAGCACACAGCUAGUUCUGAGAAGUUAAGCCAAACCUGCCAAGAGUGCAGUCUGGCAGAGAAGAACCUGCAAGGACAAGGCAAGACUGAAGUCAAGCUGGAAAACCAAGUGAGUCAGACAGGGUCAGAACCACCAAGGCAUCAGAGUGGCACAGACCUACCUACAGAUAGCUCAGGCAAAGACCAAGGGCCUUUAAUGCAACUCCCAAAUCAAGGAGGGGAAUGUUUUUGAAGAGAGUUAUCCCAGUUUUCCACAGAACUCUUUUCAUAGCACUUCAGCCCUAGAUUAGAUGGCUACACUGUAUCAGAGCUGGC